GUGUCUUAUAUUUAUAUAGGUACUUUGGCGCACGGAUACCUGCCGUUUACCUACAAACUGAAUCUAGAAUUUGGUAUAAUGGAGCGACGGCGCCCCCCGGUGGACAAUCGUAUGAACUACGACUAAAUCGAACGCGGGCUACUUUUGUUCAUUUUUAGUCGAAUCACAGAAUCAAUUAAAAUGGUCAAGAAAAAAUUAAACACAAAAAAAGGUUCCUAUAUAUACCAACGGAUAUUACAACACUUCCAUGUAAAAUAAAGCAAAAUUGACACUGAAACUGCUGGUUUCGUCUGCUCUAGUUUAGUUAACGUCGACUUUCUGGACGUCACAACGAAACUAUUGAAGUUCAUAAAGUUGGUGUCUGCAUUUUAUUUGUCGCCGACAGACAAAAACAUUGAAUUGGUGGAUUUCAAAGAACACCGUAAUUACACGAAGAAAACCAUAAAGACAUUAAGACGUCUAGCCAGCUGUGGGGUUUAUCGUAUCCCGUUCCUUCCUGUUUUAAAGUACUGUAUGCAAAAUCGUGGCAAUAGAUGGCGUUGCAAUUCAACACCUUCAGAAAACACAACAUGUUUUCCAGGAGCUUCUGCAAAAUGAGAACGGUUCUAAUUGAAGAAAUUCUCACAAUUGUUUAUAGUGGGAUAUCGAACUGCGACAGCGGCGUGAAAUUAAACAUAGCUGUACAUCUGUUUGUGCUUUGUGGUUGAUUAUUUCAUCCCUGUUCAGCAUCUUUCCAAUAAUACUUCGCGGUUGGUUGUAUUUUUAAUUUUCCCAUCCUGCUACAUGGUUUUGCAGGUGCUAUAUAUAUAUAUAUAUUUAAACAGUCUACUCAAACAUGAAGGUAGAAAUUAUGGAACACCUAUCAACAGU